rnacentral:rRNA from 1 species
CAGUCGCCGCGGUAAUACGUAGGUGGCAAGCGUUGUCCGGAAUUAUUGGGCGUAAAGGGCUCGCAGGCGGUUUCUUAAGUCUGAUGUGAAAGCCCCCAGCUCAACCGGGGAGGGUCAUUGGAAACUGGGAAACUUGAGUGCAGAAGAGGAGAGUGGAAUUCCACGUGUAGCGGUGAAAUGCGUAGAGAUGUGGAGGAACACCAGUGGCGAAGGCGACUCUCUGGUCUGUAACUGACGCUGAGGAGCGAAAGCGUGGGGAGCGAACAGGAUUAGAUACCCCCGUAGUCCCUGUCUCUUAUAC